CUCUGUGUGGGGAACAUGAGAGCCAGACCAAAGUUCAGAGGAACCAGCCUGGACCUCCACCCAGAAGUGUGUCCUCUAAGAGCAAACGGGUGAAGCAUUUCUUUCGUAAUUUAGGGCGA